GAUGAACGCUGGCGGCGUGCCUAAUACAUGCAAGUCGAGCGAACAGACGAGGAGCUUGCUCCUCUGACGUUAGCGGCGGACGGGUGAGUAACACGUGGAUAACCUACCUAUAAGACUGGGAUAACUUCGGGAAACCGGAGCUAAUAUCGGAUAAUAUAUUGAACCGCAUGGUUCAAUAGUGAAAGACGGUUUUGCUGUCACUUAUAGAUGGAUCCGCGCCGCAUUAGCUAGUUGGUAAGGUAACGGCUUACCAAGGCAACGAUGCGUAGCCGACCUGAGAGGGUGAUCGGCCACACGGGAACUGAGACACGGUCCAGACUCCUACGGGAGGCAGCAGUAGGGAAUCUUCCGCAAUGGGCGAAAGCCUGACGGAGCAACGCCGCGUGAGUGAAGAAGGUCUUCGGAUCGUAAAACUCUGUUAUUAGGGAAGAACAAAUGUGUAAGUAACUAUGCACGUCUUGACGGUACCUAAUCAGAAAGCCACGGCUAACUACGUG
rnacentral:rRNA from 1 species